AGCAUUUGAAUAUGCCUAAUACGUUUUGGUUUUGACGAAACUAUAACAUAAAAUGAUGCGGUGUCAUUUUUAUAAAUUUCGAUAGGCAUCAUUUCACCCAAGAUCCAAAGCAAUAUAUACCUUUUGGCCUCGAUUAAAAAACAAUUAAAGCCUAAAGUGCUAUCAAAUCUUCAAAAUAUUUCAAAAAAUUACAGUUUAAAUUAUUCCCUCCCUGAACAAGAUCUAUGAUUUUGAUUAUUUACAGAACUGCUAUCAUAGGACAUUGCAAAAAUGAUAGUUUCAAAUUAUUCCCUACCUCAAUAGGACAUAUGGCUUCAAUUAUUUACAGAACCAAUGUCAUAGGGUCUUUCAAAACAACAAUUCUAAAAUGUUAUAUGUUUGAGAAACCUUUAUGGUCUCGAUUGUUUGCAAAACCAAUGUCAUAGGAUAUUUAUUAUUUUAAUUUUAAGUAGAACCGAAGCCAAAAGUUUGAUCCAAUUUCAAAAUUACCACUGAAAAUUUUAAUUUUUUUUAUUACAUCAGUUAUUAAAAUAACCGAAGCAAUAUGUCUUUUGAGGAUUAAAAUUUCGUGAAAAGUAACAGAGGACCCACUUUUACAGUUUUCUUCUUCCUUUCACGUAUGUGAACCAACAUCACUGCAUUUUGUGGUCUCUUUAAACGUGAGUGUCACUGUUAUUGCUACAACGUCGUGACACCUUUUGUUCGUCGUUGUCACCGUCACACCACCUCUUCAUUUGUUUGUUCUCCUCUUUCAUCGUUCGUCUUCUCUGUCGUGGUGAGCGCGAUUCUCUUCAUUGUUUUGUGCAUUUUUGUUCUUGUUUUGGUUCUUGAGACUAAUAUGUUAU
rnacentral:lncRNA from 1 species